rnacentral:rRNA from 2 species
GCUUGCUUCUGAUUGAUAACAUUUGAGUGAGUGGCGGACGGGUGAGUAACACGUGGGUAACCUGCCCUAAAGUGGGGGAUAACAUUUGGAAACAGAUGCUAAUACCGCAUAAAACCUAGCACCGCAUGGUGCAAGGUUGAAAGAUGGUUUCGGCUAUCACUUUAGGAUGGACCCGCGGUGCAUUAGUUAGUUGGUGAGGUAAAGGCUCACCAAGACCGUGAUGCAUAGCCGACCUGAGAGGGUAAUCGGCCACACUGGGACUGAGACACGGCCCAGACUCCUACGGGAGGCAGCAGUAGGGAAUCUUCCACAAUGGACGAAAGUCUGAUGGAGCAACGCCGCGUGAGUGAAGAAGGUUUUCGGAUCGUAAAACUCUGUUGUUGGAGAAGAACGUAUUUGAUAGUAACUGAUCAGGUAGUGACGGUAUCCAACCAGAAAGCCACGGCUAACUACGUGCCAGCAGCCGCGGUAAUACGUAGGUGGCAAGCGUUGUCCGGAUUUAUUGGGCGUAAAGCGAGCGCAGGCGGUUUCUUAAGUCUGAUGUGAAAGCCUUCGGCUCAACCGAAGAAGUGCAUCGGAAACUGGGAAACUUGAGUGCAGAAGAGGACAGUGGAACUCCAUGUGUAGCGGUGAAAUGCGUAGAUAUAUGGAAGAACACCAGUGGCGAAGGCGGCUGUCUGGUCUGUAACUGACGCUGAGGCUCGAAAGCAUGGGUAGCAAACAGGAUUAGAUACCCUGGUAGUCCAUGCCGUAAACGAUGAGUGCUAGGUGUUGGAGGGUUUCCGCCCUUCAGUGCCGCAGCUAACGCAUUAAGCACUCCGCCUGGGGAGUACGACCGCAAGGUUGAAACUCAAAGGAAUUGACGGGGGCCCGCACAAGCGGUGGAGCAUGUGGUUUAAUUCGAAGCAACGCGAAGAACCUUACCAGGUCUUGACAUCCUUUGACCACUCUAGAGAUAGAGCUUUCCCUUCGGGGACAAAGUGACAGGUGGUGCAUGGUUGUCGUCAGCUCGUGUCGUGAGAUGUUGGGUUAAGUCCCGCAACGAGCGCAACCCUUAUUACUAGUUGCCAGCAUUUAGUUGGGCACUCUAGUGAGACUGCCGGUGACAAACCGGAGGAAGGUGGGGACGACGUCAAAUCAUCAUGCCCCUUAUGACCUGGGCUACACACGUGCUACAAUGGAUGGUACAACGAGUCGCGAGACCGCGAGGUUUAGCUAAUCUCUUAAAACCAUUCUCAGUUCGGAUUGUAGGCUGCAACUCGCCUACAUGAAGCCGGAAUCGCUAGUAAUCGCGGAUCAGCAUGCCGCGGUGAAUACGUUCCCGGGCCUUGUACACACCGCCCGUCACACCAUGAGAGUUUGUAACACCCAAAGCCGGUGA